ACAACAACAGCAACUUCAAGAUCUGAUCCUGGUAAUCAAACAGCAUAAUCUAGAAGGCCAGACCUCUCUUGUAUAAUAUAUACUUAAAUAAAUUCUAUUUUUGUAUUAUAUGAAGAAAAAAUCAAUAUGACUCAGUGACAUGACAUGGUGAGUAUAUUGCUAUUAUCACUGAUGCAAUGUGGACUGCUGAACCCACACGCUGAGCUGGCAAUAUGGGUGGAGCCAUAAAAUUUGGAAAAUGAAAAUGGGUUAACUUCUCUUAUUCGUGUCUUGAUGAGAAAACUGUCACUGCCAUGUUAGACGAUCGCCCUUAAAAUCCAGUCACGUACAGAUAAUGUCGGUGUCGGUCCCUGUGAGCUGACGUUAAAUGGUCGGGGAAAAGGCCGACUGGUCUAGACCCACUGGCCGACGUGGCUGUGCAAGAUGCUGCCGUAGGAAGCUAACAGCUAACCGGUGAAUUCCUUUGCUGGUCAUCUCAUCCUUCCAUGGACUCAAGUCUGAUGUCAGCCCUGUUGGCACGAAGCAAGUGAUUCUGUGACUCCAGCAGUACAACCAAGGUGGAUACACCUGAACGCGCUGUAUCCAGAUGUCUCUCCUGAAGGACAGCCCAAUGACAUCCAGGUCAUCGCUUCCAUAGCGGAAGGCACAAGCAAGGAUAACUCCACAUGCCCCCACCAACUCCACCCACCCACCACUCAGCUCCACUCCUGUGAGGAUAGAUUAUUGGCUAGGAUAGAAAAGCACCUGCUGGCAGAAGUGCCUAAUCUGGAUAUAAGACAUAACUCUGUUUUGGUAAGUCUUUAGGUUACAUAAUAGUCAGUAACAGUAUAUCCAAAUUGUUAAAACCGUUUUGCUCAAUAUUGAUAAAUUAUUCAUAAAUUCAAUGCAUGGUGCUAGCUUGUCUAUAAGACUUUAAUAGUGGCAUGUUCUUCCAAAACUCUCCAAGUUAUCGUACAGGAUGCUGCUGCAGAGAUUACAUUCAUUAUACUGCAUGUUGAAGGUGUCUUGGCAAAUGUGUGGAAUUUCUAUAUCCCAGAAUAUUUAAUGUUUUUCCUAAUAAUCUUAGAAUGACAUAAACUUGCAAGUGCAAUUCCUUCCUCUGUGCAUAAAGCCAUAAACAAACAAGUAAUCCUCAGUGGUGUUUGCCUCUUUUGGUUGUGUGCCAAGUAAUCCUGUUAAAACCUUUCCUAGCAAACUCCUCUUCCAAGAUCAAAUCCACUCUGUCUACAUUAAUCAGGAUUUAUCUGUAUCCUGUAAGAUUCAGGUGUUGUGCCUCUGCCAAACUGUUAAAUUGUUACGACUAAGCUACUCCGUUUGUUUCUUGUGAGGGAAUUAACACUUUUGAUCUCUGCAUGGAUCCUGAGCUGCACUUGUUUUCAAACAAUCAAACAAUUAAAGUAUCAAAAAAUAGAUUUUGUAAGAAACAAUGCCAGAGCAGAACCUUGGAUGUACACACUGCUGUGGGGUUAUUCAAGAACCAUUAACAUUUGGUGUUGGCACAAAAAAAUAUUCAUUUUCACCGUAAAAUGGCGUUCAGUGAUGAGGUAUAUUAAAUUUCUUCUGAGACAUUUUUAUGCCUUACACAACUAGAAUGAUUGAUUUUAACCUCUAAGCUAAAGCAGUUACAAUGUCAGAAUAGUUGCUGAUUAUAGUGGAUGAGACAAAACCCUGUAU